GUGUCAGCAGCCGCGGUAAUACAGAGGGUGCAAGCGUUAAUCGGAAUUACUAGGCGUAAAGGGAGCGUAGGUGGCUCUAUAAGUCAGAUGUGAAAUCCCCGGGCUUAACCUGGGAACUGCAUCUGAAACUGUAGAGCUAGAGUAUGUGAGAGGAAGGUAGAAUUCCAGGUGUAGCGGUGAAAUGCGUAGAGAUCUGGAGGAAUACCGAUGGCGAAGGCAGCCUUCUGGCAUAAUACUGACACUGAGGCUCGAAAGCGUGGGUAGCAAACAGGAUUAGAAGCCCGUGUAGUCC
rnacentral:rRNA from 1 species